rnacentral:rRNA from 1 species
CCUACGGGUGGCAGCAGUAGGGAAUUUUGCGCAAUGGGCGAAAGCCUGACGCCGCAACGCCGCGUGAACGAGACGCCCUUCGGGGUGUAAAGUUCUGUCAGUGGGGACGAAAAAUGACGGUACCCACAGAGGAAGCACCGGCUAACUCCGUGCCAGCAGCCGCGGUAAUACGGAGGGUGCAAGCGUUGUCCGGAAUCAUGGGGCGAAAGGAGUUCGUAGGCGGAAUGUAAGUCAGGUGUUAAAUGGGCAGGCUCAACCUGGGUAUGGAACUGUAUACUUGCAAGCUGGAAUGCGGUAGAGGUAAAGGGAAUUCCUGGUGUAGCGGUGAAAUGCUUAGAUAUCAGGAGGAACAUCGGUGGCGUAAGCGCUUUACUGGGCCGUAAUUGACGCUGAGGAACGAAAGCCAGGGUAGCAAAUGGGAUUAGAUACCCUUGUAGUC